GUUUAGGCUGCUGGAGUUACAAAUAUGUCUUCACAUCCAAAGCUUCAAAGUGCAAUGAAUCACAUUAAUUCAAGACUUUGUCACCCACAUGUUGUGCUUGCAGGCGUAGUAUACUCGUAUGUGAAAGUGUACCAUACUUUAUAUCAUAAGCAAGAAAUCUAAAGAAGAUACCUCUCAGGCAAACAAGGACAGAAGAGUGGUGGGAAGUUGGCUUUUUAUUAUUAUUUUAUAGGGUAAAAUUAGGAAUAUUGGAUAAGUAGAUGAAAAGUGUUGGCAUUUCUCAUCUCUUGUCUGUUCCCUAACUUUAAUAAGCAUUAUUAUACAGAACAAAAAUAGAAGUGAGUGAUGAUUUUCAGAGAUGAGCGGCAGCCUCUCUUUAUUCUUAUUCUUUCUUCGCACGAAAAGGCUGUGUUCACACCAAGAAGACCUUAAAGGAG
rnacentral:misc_RNA from 1 species